ACCACUGUGACCUUUUACACCGCUGUGUCCUGUUACACCACUGUGACCUAUUACACCACUGUCACCUGUUACACCGCUGUGAUCUGUUACACCGCUGUGUCCAGUUACACCACUGUGACCUGUUACACCACUGUGUCCUGUUACACCACUGUGACCUGUUACACCACUGUGACCUGUUACACCACUAACCUGUUACACCACUGUGAUCGGGGUCUGAGACAUUUGCACUGGCGAGCGGCGUUCUUGCCAACUAUAUGGCUGUUAAGUUGAAAAUUGUAACUGUUAAGAGCAUUCUAUUGUGGUUUUAAUAUUGAACAAUU